rnacentral:rRNA from 1 species
AGCGAACGCUGGCGGCAGGCCUAACACGUGCAAGUCGAACGAAGUCUUCGGACUUAGUGGCGGACGGGUGAGUAACACGUGGGAACGUGCCUUUAGGUUCGGAAUAACUCAGGGAAACUUGUGCUAAUACCGAAUGUGCCCUUCGGGGGAAAGAUUUAUCGCCUUUAGAGCGGCCCGCGUCUGAUUAGCUAGUUGGUGAGGUAAAGGCUCACCAAGGCGACGAUCAGUAGCUGGUCUGAGAGGAUGAUCAGCCACAUUGGGACUGAGACACGGCCCAAACUCCUACGGGAGGCAGCGGUGGGGAAUCUUGCGCAAUGGGCGAAAGCCUGACGCAGCCAUGCCGCGUGAAUGAUGAAGGUCUUAGGAUUGUAAAAUUCUUUCACCGGGGACGAUAAUGACGGUACCCGGAGAAGAAGCCCCGGCUAACUUCGUGCCAGCCGCCGCCGUAAAAC